rnacentral:rRNA from 1 species
UACGAAGGGGGCUAGCGUUGCUCGGAAUCACUGGGCGUAAAGCGCACGUAGGCGGCUUACUAAGUCAGGGGUGAAAUCCUGGAGCUCAACUCCAGAACUGCCUUUGAUACUGGUAAGCUUGAGUCCGGGAGAGGUGAGUGGAACUGCGAGUGUAGAGGUGAAAUUCGUAGAUAUUCGCAAGAACACCAGUGGCGAAGGCGGCUCACUGGCCCGGUACUGACGCUGAGGUGCGAAAGCGUGGGGAGCAAACAGG